rnacentral:rRNA from 1 species
GACGUGGGGGGCGAGCGUUGUCCGGAAUUAUUGGGCGUAAAGGGCGUGUAGGCGGCCUGCCAAGUCGGCUGUGAAACCCCCCGGCUCAACCGGGGGCCUGCAGUUGAAACUGGUGGGCUUGAGUGCAGGAGAGGAGGGUGGAAUUCCUGGUGUAGCGGUGAAAUGCGUAGAUAUCAGGAGGAACACCGGUGGCGAAGGCGACCUUCUGGCCUGUUACUGACGCUGAGGCGCGAAAGCUAGGGGAG